rnacentral:tRNA from 1 species
CAGGGAGACAAACAUUGAUCAUGAUGUCUAAGAUAUUUUUCCUUAGGCCAUGAUCCUGUCACCUUAGGUCGAUCGGUACCUCAGAUUUAAGAACCAGAUGAAAAUAAUUUUUUAUCUGGUAAUUGAUUUUCAGUUCCUAAACUUGUCUAGGUCACACCCAACAAGGGUACUCCUGGGCCAUUAGCUCAGGUGGUUAGAGCGCACCCCUGAUAAGGGUGAGGUCCCUGGUUCAAGUCCAGGAUGGCCCAUUCGGUGUUGGGGGUAUAGCUCAGUUGGUAGAGCGCCUGCUUUGCAAGCAGGAUGUCAGCGGUUCGAGUCCGCUUACCUCCACUGGUCGACUCUCUGACAACCAAAUUAAGGAGCUAUUCUUUGAUAGUGGUGACUUAGACUUUUGUUUUAACUGAAUGAACCUAGCUUCCUAUCAUUCCUAUAUUUAUAUAUAACUUAGGUUGAUAAGAUGCUGGGCUCACUACAAUUCGAGAGAAUUGUAGUUGAUGUUCAGUAGAACCUUGACGACUGCAUAGGUGAGUCUGGAAAGAAUAAAGCAUCUCAUGGAUACAUUAUUCUUUUUUGAAAUUUAUUUUCUGCGUAAGUAGUAAUCUAAGUUUCUAACUUAAUAAUGUUCAAUUCUUGAGCAAGAGCCGAGACUCUAUGGCUAUUUUGAUGUUAUUAACUCAUCAAAGAUAUACAAGUAUUUGUUUGAAUAUUUGUAUUGCCAUAGAGAUUUAUAU